AUGUCAAAGCCUCAACAACCAUCAAUCAUCUCAGACGAGAAAAAAAAAUCCUCAAGAACCAUGGCGGAGGCUGUUGUCGCGCAGCUGGUGGUGACGCUCGGCGGGGCGCUGGCGAAAGAGGCGGCGACCUACGGCGCGGCGCUGUUGUGCAAGGAAGCUGCGGCCCUGAGGGGUCUCUUCAGCAAGAUCCGCCAGUCCAAGGUGGAGCUGGAGAGCAUGCAAGCGUACCUACAGGAGGCAGAGCGGUUCAAGGAUAUCGACAAGACCACCGCCAUCUUUGUCGGUGAGAUCAGGGGCUUGGCCUUCCGGAUCGAGGACGUCGUCGACGAGUUCACCUACAAGUUGGAGGACUGCAAGCACGGAGGGUUUGCCGGCAAGAUGAAGAAGCGGCUCAAGCAUAUCAAGACCUGGCGGCACCUGGCAGCCAAGCUCCAAGAAAUCGAAGGCCAGCUGCAGGAUGCCAACAGGAGGAAGAGAGAUUAUGCCGUCACCGGCAUAUCUGCAUCUUUUGCCAGAUCGACGAAUCUAGGUCAAGCUCUGCACUUCACCAGGGAUGAGGACCUUGUGGGGAUCGAAGAGCACAAGGAGAGGUUGAUACGGUGGCUGACCGGCGGUGGUGAUGCACAGGAGCAGAGCUUCAGCAAAGUCACCCUGGUGUGGGGGAUGCCUGGUAUUGGUAAAACCACUCUGGUUGAUCAUGUGUACAACACUGUGAAAGUGGAUUUCGACGCUGCGGCAUGGGUAACUGUGUCAGAAAGUUACAGUUUUGAGGAUCUGCUGAAGAAGAUUGCAGGCCAAUUCGGCAUCGUAGUCGACGUCGCCAACAUUGAGAUGCGAGUCCUAGCAAAGUCCAUUCACAACUACCUUCAAGGUAAAAGGUACAUCUUGGUCUUGGAUGAUGUUUGGGCUGAGCGCUUGUGGUCGGAGAUAAGAAAUGUCUUCCCAACAUCUAACUGUACCGGCCGAUUUGUCAUCACAUCAAGAAAGCAGGCAGUGUUGACAACUAGGGAAUUUUCAUAUGCAAUUCACUUGGAACCAUUACAAGAGCAUCACUCAUGGCUGCUAUUUUGCAAAGGAGCCUUUGGGGAUGCCGAUGACAAAGAGUGCCCGUUGGACCUACAGGAAUUGGCUCGGAAGUUCAUAGCAAAGUGUCAAGGCUUGCCUAUUGCUAUUACAUGCAUUGGCCGCCUACUCUCCCGCAAACUCCCAACUUCCGCUGAAUGGGAGGAUGUGUACACAGGUUUGGAUUCACAGUUGGCGAAAGAUGUGAUCCCUGAUGCUCAUUUGAUCCUAAAGGUCAGCUUGGAGGACCUUCCGUAUGAUUUGAAGAAUUGUUUCCUACACUGUGCAUUGUCCCCAGAAGAUUAUAUAUUAAAGAGGAGGAAGACAAUGAGGCAGUGGAUCACGGCAUGGUUUAUCACGGGAAAAGAAGAGAGCAAAACAUUGGAGGAAGUGGCAGAGGGAUACUUGGCUGAGCUUGUGAACCGAAGCCUACUGCAGGUAGUGCAAAGGAAUUUUGCCGGACGACUGAAACAAUGUCGGAUGCAUGAUGUCAUUCGCCUUCUUGCACUCAACAAAGCCAAAGAGGAAUGCUUUGGUACAGUUUAUAACGGCUCUAGUGGUGGUACUGAGGCGUUCUGUUUAGUGGGUGCACGUCGCAUAUCAAUCCUAGGGGGAAACAUUGAACAACUGAGCCUAUCUGGUGCAACACAGCUUCGCGCGCUCCAUGUAUUUGAGAAUUAUAUCAAUGUUGACUUUCUGAAGCCUAUCCUAACAACUUCAAAUUUGCUGUGUAUAUUGGAACUGCAAGGUACUGGUAUCAAAAUGCUGCCAAAUGAGGUAUUCGACUUGUUUAAUCUGCGUUAUUUGGGUCUUAGAGAUACCGAGAUCGAAAGCCUGCCUGAAGCAUUGGGGAGGUUACAAAACUUGGAAAUCUUGGAUGCUUAUGAUUCUAACUUGACGUACUUGCCAAAGAGUGUUGUAAAGCUUCAGAAGUUAAGAUACCUGUAUGCAUGUACUUUGGACGCAUUUGGAGUAGCUCGGGUCAAGGUGCCUAGUGGCAUGCAGCACUUGGCAGGACUGCGGCCUCUUCACUCCAUCAAAGCCACUCCAGAGUUUCUCCGUGAAGUUGCUGCUCUGACGGAGCUAAGAACAUUCGGUGUCUGCAACGUGAGAAGUGAACAUUCUGCUGAUUUAACCAAUGCUAUCACCAGAAUGAGUCAUCUUGUUCAUCUCGAAAUUGUUGCUGCAGCUGAGAAUGAGGUGCUGCAGCUGGAAGGGCUAUAUUUACCUCCAACCAUUUUCUGGGCUUGCUUUAGUAGGGAAGUUAGGAAAAACAAUGAUGCCUCAACUUUUCUCUUCUUGGUCACACCUUAA
rnacentral:rRNA from 1 species